ACGAAGGGGGCGAGCGUUGUUCGGAUUUACUGGGCGUAAAGCGCACGUAGGCGGCUUUGUAAGUCAGAGGUGAAAGCCCGGAGCUUAACUCCGGAAUAGCCUUUGAGACUGCAUCGCUUGAAUCCAGGAGAGGUGAGUGGAAUUCCGAGUGUAGAGGUGAAAUUCGUAGAUAUUCGGAAGAACACCAGUGGCGAAGGCGGCUCACUGGACUGGUAUUGACGCUGAGGUGCGAAAGCGUGGGGAGCAAACAGGA
rnacentral:rRNA from 1 species